UUGUUUCCAUACAGAAAGACAGCGUCUCCACUAUAUCCUCGAUCCUACCUACACAACGACCUACAACAACAGCAGUAACAGCAUCAUCAUCAUCAACAACCGCCACAGCAGCAGGGGUGACCAUCAACGAUGCUGGGACCAACACAAAUGGAGUGGGAACACAUCCUUCUUCAGACGCAGUAGUGACAGCGACGACACCUCCAGCUACAACGUCUCUGGGUAAACAUCAUACUCCUGGUCGACCUACAGGCAGGACGAAGACAUCCCUGUCCCAAUCAGUCACAACAACUG